rnacentral:rRNA from 1 species
AGUGAACGCUGGCGGCAGGCCUAACACAUGCAAGUCGAACGGCAGCACAGUAAGUGCUUGCUCUUACGGGUGGCGAGUGGCGGACGGGUGAGGAGAAUAUCGGAAUCUACUUUUUCGUAGGGGAUAACGUAGGGAAACUUACGCCAAUACCGCAUACGACGUACGGGGGAGAGCAGGGGAUCUUCGGACCUUGCGCGAUUGAAUGAGCGGAUGUCGGGUUAGCUAGUUGGCGGGGUAAAGGCCCACCAAGGCGACGAUCCGUAGCUGGUCUGAGAGGAUGAUCAGCCACACUGGAACUGAGACACGGUCCAGACUCCUACGGGAGGCGGCAGUGGGGAAUAUUGGACAAUGGGCGCAAGCCUGAUCCAGCCAUACCGCGUGGGUGAAGAAGGCCUUCGGGUUGUAAAGCCCUUUUGUUGGGAAAGAAAAGCAGUAGGUUAAUACCCCGCUGUUCUGACGGUACCCAAAGAAUAAGCACCGGCUAACUUCGUG